UAGAGUAAACAAACAUUCUCAAACACUCCAUCAUUCCAUAAUCCCAACAAAACCAUCAAAAUUUACCACCUCCUACUUUCUCUCUCUAAUUUUCGGUUAGAGCAAACCCACCACCAUCUUCAAAUUUUCAAAAUUUAAACACUAGAGAUUCUUGCAAAUAUGGAGGUUCAUGGAUAUAUCAAAAACACUUGUGAGACUAGAAAAGCUAUUUGGAGCAUUUUUGGUGGAACUAGAAGCCUUAGAUCAUCAAGAUUUUCCUUAUCUUCAUCCUUAAUUCCUAGCAAAAAUUGUCGAGAAACGAACCGCGAACAAGGAAUCGAAUAGAGAUUUGCACGGAACGCAAAUCUGAGAUUAGUGGACGGCUUUGGAAAAAUAUGUUCAAGUGGUUAUCAAGAACGCAAGCUUUUGUGAUGUCAUCUGUUUUCGAUUGUUAUGUUUUGAACUUUGAAUAAUGUAGUUAAAGUUGGUGUUGUUUCAAGUUUCAAACAAGACAUAUGUAAUGUAAACUAUGGUUUCGAAUCAAAUGUAUGGAUGAACAUCUUUUAUGUUUCAAAUAUGUUGUUUACU